rnacentral:rRNA from 1 species
CAAUGGGCGAAAGCCUGACGCAGCCAUGCCGCGUGUGUGAAGAAGGCCUUCGGGUUGUAAAGCACUUUCAAUUGGGAGGAAAGGCUCACGACUAAUACUCGUGAGCUGUGACGUUACCUUUAGAAGAAGCACCGGCUAACUCCGUGCCAGCAGCCGCGGUAAUACGGAGGGUGCGAGCGUUAAUCGGAAUUACUGGGCGUAAAGCGCGCGUAGGUGGUCUGUUAAGUCGGAUGUGAAAGCCCCGGGCUCAACCUGGGAAUUGCAUCCGAUACUGGAUGACUAGAAUGCGGGAGAGGGAGGUAGAAUUCCAUGUGUAGCAGUGAAAUGCGUAGAUAUAUGGAGGAAUACCAGUGGCGAAGGCGGCCUCCUGGCUCGACAUUGACGCUGAGGUGCGAAAGCGUGGGGAGCAAACGGGAUUAGAUACCCCGGUAGUCCACGCCGUAAACGAUGUCUACUAGCUGUAGGGGUACUUGAGACCUUUGUAGCGCAGCUAACGCAAUAAGUAGACCGCCUGGGGAGUACGGCCGCAAGGUUAAAACUCAAAUGAAUUGACGGGGGCCCGCACAAGCAGUGGAGCAUGUGGUUUAAUUCGAUGCAACGCGAAGAACCUUACCAGGCCUUGACACCCCCGGAACUUUCUAGAGAUAGAUUGGUGCCUUCGGGAACCGGGUGACAGGUGCUGCAUGGCUGUCGUCAGCUCGUGUCGUGAGAUGUUGGGUUAAGUCCCGUAACGAGCGCAACCCUUGUCCUUAGUUGCCAGCACAUAAUGGUGGGAACUCUAAGGAGACUGCCGGUGACAAACCGGAGGAA